GAUGAACGCUGGCGGCGUGCCUAAUACAUGCAAGUCGAGCGAACAGAUGAGGAGCUUGCUCCUCUGACGUUAGCGGCGGACGGGUGAGUAACACGUGGAUAACCUACCUAUAAGACUGGGAUAACUUCGGGAAACCGGAGCUAAUACCGGAUAAUAUAUUGAACCGCAUGGUUCAAUAGAGAAAGACGGUUUUGCUGUCACUUAUAGCUGGAUCCGCGCCGCAUUAGCUAGUUGGUAAGGUAACGGCUUACCAAGGCAAAGAUGCGUAGCCGACCUGAGAGGGUGAUCGGCCACAAUGGAACUGAGACACGGUCCAGACUCCUACGGGAGGCAGCAGUAGGGAAUCUUCCGCAAUGGGCGAAAGCCUUACGGAGCAACGCCGCGUGAGUGAUGAAGGUCUUCGGAUCGUAAAACUCUGUUAUUAGGGAAGAACAAAUGUGUAAGUAACUAUGCACGUCUUGACGGUACCUAAUCAGAAAGCCACGGCUAACUACGUGC
rnacentral:rRNA from 1 species